UUUAGAUCGUGCAAUAUGCUGCGGUGCGGCGCAGCGUUCGAGACGUUUCAUUAAAAGUCGAUGUUACGACACCAGGGUGUGCUCGAUCGCUCGCUCAGAUCUAGGCAUGCGACCUAGACCCGACCUUUCCCAAGUUCCUGACGGAAAUAAGGCUAAUACAGCUACCGACACUUAGCUUCGCUAAUCGAACCAAGGAAUAAACGACGUUCCACAGCCGCGAUCCACUCGAAUUACGAGGACGGUUCAAUCGAUUUCACGGUGAACUUUCUAAGAAUAUUUCCACGCCUUUGCUGGAGAACUUCCGGUAACGAAACGUUUCGAUCAACCGAAGAAUAAACGCUGCUUUCGAUAUUCAAAUAAUAAAACAAAUUUAAUUUUUUCAUAUAUAUGGUAUGAUAGAAAUUAAAAAUGAUAGAUUAGCCAUAAUCCAUGCAACAUUCCUCUAAUUAUUAAACGUUAUAAUUAAAAGAAAAACAUUUACAUUUGACAAUGAAGAAUAUUUAUUGCUAUGAUAUUUUAAAUUAUUAAGGUAAUUCUAAAAAAAAAAAAAAAAUACAAUAAAAAAAUGUCAGAGCUGAAGAACAAGUGUUUUCUCUAAUUAAAUAUUCUCCUUUAAUUUUUUUCUUUACUUCAAAGUAAAUUGACUAUAACAUAUAUAAUUAUAUUUCUUUUUCUUCGCGCUAUUUUAAAAAGAAAGAUAUAUAUUAUACAUAUUUAUUGAACGAUCUCGAUUUUGUCACGGAUGAAUAACCGUGGAAAUAUUUAUAUAAAGGCGACACCCGUAAUUUAGUCGACGACCGAACGUAUUGUAUCGAGCUUUUACCGGUAUGCGGCUCUCGGGCCAAUAUUUCACGGGAUAAUAAGGAACAAACAGCGUUUCCUUGUUCCGGGAGACGCGAGAGUGUUAUUAUACUAUGGCGGCGGGUUGAAGGUGGCGAUGGCGGAAAUUCGUUCGGCCAAAGGCCACACGGUCUCGACC